rnacentral:lncRNA from 1 species
GAACAAAAUACUUCUUCAUUCAUAGACGAGGAUGAGGGGGAGGAUGGAGCCGGGCCCACAGGGGAUGAUGAUGAAGAUGAGGAUGAGGAGGGGGAGGAAGGAGGAGGGGUUGGGCUCUCUUACCUGAUGAAGGAAAGGAUCCAGGACGAAGAAGAUGAUGACGACUACGCAGGAGGAGGAGGAAGAAGAGGAGAAGGCAGGAGUCAAAGGGGAGAAGAGGAAGAGGGAUGCUGAGGACGAAGGGGAGGAGGAGGAUGAUGAUGACGACGACUAGGCUUGUCCUUCCCCUGCGAACCUCUGGAUCCAGAUCCAAGUAGAACAAUAACCACAAAAAAGUGUGAUCUUGCAGAUUGUUUCUCUUUGUAUACCAUAGAUAUCACUGUAGAGGCUGUUUCUUUUAUAUAUAAAUAUAUAUAUGAGAUACUAUACGAAAAGGAGAUUUUAUCAACAAAUAAUUUGUUCAUCGUUCUAAGUUAAAUUACCACCCCAAAAAUCUCAUCAAUAUGCAGGCAGUCUAAAAUUAAUGGAGGUAGGG